UACGGGGGGAGCAAGCGUUGUUCGGAUUUACUGGGCGUAAAGGGCGCGUAGGCGGCCACCGCAAGUCGACUGUGAAAUCUCCGGGCUUAACCCGGAAAGGUCAGCCGAUACUGCGGGGCUAGAGUGCAGAAGGGGCAACUGGAAUUCUCGGUGUAGCGGUGAAAUGCGUAGAUAUCGAGAGGAACACCGGUGGUGUAGACGGCUUUCUGGACCGUAACUGACGCUGAGACACGAAAGCGUGGGUAGCAAACAGG
rnacentral:rRNA from 1 species